rfam:Hordeum vulgare subsp. vulgare, WGS project CAJW01000000 data, contig: morex_contig_92503
CACGUACUCCCUCCGUCCGGAAUUACUUGUCGCAGAAAUGGAUAGAACCGGAUGUAUCUAAAACUAAAAUACAUCUAGAUACAUCCAUUCCUCGGACAAGUAUUACCGGACGGAGGGAGUAUUAA